rnacentral:rRNA from 1 species
AUUGUUCGCAAUGGGCGCAAGCCUGACGACGCAACGCCGCGUGGAGGAUGAAGAUUUUCGGAUCGUAAACUCCUGUCGAAUGGGACGAAUAGAUUGCGGGUUAACAGCCCGCGGUCCUGACGGUACCGUUAAAGGAAACCCCGGCUAACUCUGUGCCAGCAGCCGCGGUAAUACAGAGGGUGCAAGCGUUGUCCGGAAUCACUGGGCGUAAAGGGCGCGUAGGUGGCCCGUUAAGUGGCUGGUGAAAUCCCGGGGCUCAACUCCGGGGCUGCCGGUCAGACUGGCGAGCUAGAGCACGGUAGGGGCAGAUGGAAUUCCCGGUGUAGCGGUGGAAUGCGUAGAGAUCGGGAAGAAUACCGGUGGCGAAGGCGUUCUGCUGGGCCGUUGCUGACACUGAGGCGCGACAGCGUGGGGAGCAAAC